GGACGAAAGUCUGACGGAGCAACGCCGCGUGAGUGAUGAAGGUUUUCGGAUCGUAAAGCUCUGUUGUUAGGGAAGAACAAGUGCGAGAGUAACUGCUCGCACCUUGACGGUACCUAACCAGAAAGCCACGGCUAACUAUGUGCCAGCAGCCGCGGUAAUACGUAGGUGGCAAGCGUUGUCCGGAAUUAUUGGGCGUAAAGGGCUCGCAGGCGGUUUCUUAAGUCUGAUGUGAAAGCCCCCGGCUCAACCGGGGAGGGUCAUUGGAAACUGGGAAACUUGAGUGCAGAAGAGGAGAGUGGAAUUCCAUGUGUAGCGGUGAAAUGCGUAGAGAUGUGGAGGAACACCAGUGGCGAAGGCGACUCUCUGGUCUGUAACUGACGCUGAGGAGUGAAAGCGUGGAGAGCGAACAGGAUUAGAUACCCUGGUAGUCCACGCCGUAAACGAUGAGUGCUAAGUGUUAGGGGGUUUCCGCCCCUUAGUGCUGCAGCUAACGCAUUAAGCACUCCGCCUGGGGAGUACGGUCGCAAGACUGAAACU
rnacentral:rRNA from 1 species